UGACGAGCUGUUUUCUUGUGCCGCUUGCACAGUGAUUUUUGCUUCGGGCGCGGGAUUCCAACAGUGCAAAGGGGGCGUGAUCACUUGUCUUUUAAAUAAAGACCCGUAUGAACGGCUAAAUGAGGAUAAACCUGUCUCUUAUAACUAAUCAGUGAAACUGAUCUUCCAGUACAAAAGCUGGAAUAAACACAUAAGACGAGAAGACCCUGUGGAGCUUAAAACUAUUACUAAACAGCACUAAGCUGAUUUAACAUACGUUUUCAGUUGGGGCGACUUCGGAAUAAAACACAACUUCCGAGCACAGAGCCACACCCUCUAGUUAAGACUAACAAGUCAAAACACCAAAAUCGACCCGGCCUUGCCGAUCAACGAACCAAGUUACCCCAGGGAUAACAGCGCAAUCUUCUUCGAGAGCCCCUAUCAACAAGAAGGUUUACGACCUCGAUGUUGGAUCAGGACACCCAAAUGGUGCAGCCGGCUAUUUAACGGUUCGUUUGUUCAACGAUUAACAGUCCUACGUGAUCUGAGUUCAGACCGGAAUUG
rnacentral:rRNA from 1 species